AAAUUAAUUGAUAAAGGAUCACAAACUGAAAGACAAUUAAUUAAUAACGGAUCACAUUAAAUUGUCGAUUGAUUAUCGCUCGCGCUCUCUCUCUCUCGGCUUGCAGGGAAGAAAAGAAAGAAACCGGAAUUUUCCAGAAAACCCUAAAAUGGCAGGGAGAAAUCGCAUCCCUCGUGAACUUUAUAACGACAGGCGGGGAUUCAUCGUUGAACGACCAUUCAUUCGUGGCCAUCCGAUGCCACAGCCUGCUUUCUUGGAGGAGGAGCUGGAGAUGCAACAUGCUGAAAUCCGACGCCUCUUGGGUGAUAACCGUAGGCUGAUCGAAGAUCGUAUGGGUCUGCAGCAGGAGCUUGGCGCUGCAAAGGAAGAGCUUCAUCGAAUGAAUAUUGUGAUUGCUGAAAUUCGUGCAGAACAAGAUGUGCUUAUCAAGAAGGGAUUGAAGCUUGAGGCUGAUCUUCGUGUGACUGAGCCUUUGAAGAAUGAGACUGUUCAACUCCGUGCGGAGAUUCAGAAGCUGAGUAGUUCGAAGCAGGAACUGGUUGGGCAAGUCCAAACCUUGAAACAAGAUGUGGCGAGACUGCAAUCUGAUAAUCACCAGAUUCCUCUUUUACGGGGUGAGAUUGAGGGCUUGCACCAGGAGCUAAUGCAUACUAGAGCUGCAAUUGAAUAUGAAAAGAAGGCCAACAUUGAGUUGGUGGAGCAGAGACAAUCAAUGGAGAAGAAUUUGGUUUCCAUGGCACGUGAAGUUGAAAAGCUACGUGUAGAGCUUUCUAGUUCUGAUAAUCGACCACCCUGGAGUGCUUCUGCUGGUAUACUGUCUUGUGGAUCAUAUGGGAUGAAGUUUGGUAUUCCAGAAGGGGCUUUUCCUCCUCCAUAUGGGGAUGGGUAUGCAGUUCAUCUGGGUGCUGCUGACAAGGGUCCUUUCUAUGGCCCUCGUCCUGCUUCAUGGGAGAAGCCCCGCAUGCCUCGUCGUUGAGAUGGUUCUGUUCAAAUCCAAGAAGUGCAAAGUUGUUGCUCUGGCUGCCUGUUCCUGCCAAUAUCUCAAUAGUCGAGGAGUGUCUUUCAUCUAUAUGUAUGAAAGACUGAUUCUUAGUGUGACAAAGGUUAAGAAUGUUUUUGAAUAUCUUUGGUACUAGUCACUUCCCUCCCAGCCCGUCAGGAAGUUUGAAAAUGCAAUGCCAAUCAGGGAGGUACCAUGGAGACUAAAGCAUCAUGGUGGAGAAGAAGUCAGGUGAAGGAGAGGAGAAGGGAGAAGGGAAUCCUCG